rnacentral:lncRNA from 1 species
UGAAAAUAUUCUAGGCUCUUGCUCUUGGAAGAUUAGACUGAUGUGGUUUUGCUUUAUGAAUAAAUGGCGUGCAAACUUACUGGUUUGAUUUAGGUGUGUAGGCAGAGGAAACAAAAGAAUCAUAAUCCCAGGUUUAGGCAUGCACAUGGUCACUGAUCACAAAGUAGGUAGGAACAUGUGCAGUAUUGUGAUUUUCAGCAAGAGAAAGAGAAACAUAGUUAAUUGUACGUAUUUUAAGCUACACUAUGUGAUGUUGCUCUAUUAUAAAGGCCUUGCUUAAAUGCUUGUUUGCAAUAUGUAUUGCAUUUCCAGGGAUUAUCCUUUUGCUUAUUGAGUAUUUCCUAUGUUAUAUUUCGUCCUCAGCUUGGUCACUGUAUGUGAUUAUUUACUCAUUUUGAGCCAUUUUGCAACCAAGCUUGACUUCUUUUAUUUUGCGAUCUGAGUUAUGCACACCAAAAUUAGCCCACGUAAGUUUGAACCAUAUUGAACAUGUUAGAUCACUCUCCUGUAUGUGAUGAUUUACUCUAUGGAGCCAUGUUGUGACCUAGCUUGAGUUCUUUUAUUUGCGAUCUGAGCUGCAAAAUAAAAAUAAAAAUAAAAAUAGUCCACGUAAUUCGAACCAUAUCUGAACAUUUUAGUAUUUGAAUACUGAAAUUACCAAACAUGAUCUUCACUUCGCCAUUUGUGACCCCACAGUGCUUUAACUAAGCUAGCUAUAGUAAUAUUAUGUUUUACAUGGCUAUGCAAGUUAAAGGUUCUAAUAUAGUGUACGUUUAUCAAUAUUUUGUGUUAUACUGAUUAAUAUACUUCACAUAUAAGUUUUAAGCUAAUAGCUCCUAAUAAUUGUUUCUCCGCUUUGCAGUUGCCAUUUUAGUCAUAUUUUUUCUGAGAUAAAGAAUAAUAUUGAGAUGAAUUUCCUUUCUGAUGAUGAGAUUGGGUAUGCCUAUGUUUUGUAUUUUUCAGUAUUAUUUUAUUUCAGGCUUCGCUUAGCUGAGAGAGCUAAUAGAUAAUAUGGUAAACAAUUUCUAUCAAGUGGGUGAGCUCCAUUUUUCAAGGUAAGUCAGGUGACAGCCAAAAAAAUACCAAGGAGAUGAGUCUCUUAUCAGUUGUUUUGAUCUUAUCCAGGUUCUAUUUUCUUUCAGGCCAUGAGUUACGAUGUCCUGGUUAGAGCUACUACAUUCAAAGAGUAAAUCUGUUUCAUUGUAUCUGUACAUUGUAUGAAAAAGGUGCAUCUAUUAUGCCCCGUAGAAAUUUCAGCUGAGCAAUUGUGUAGACUUACGAAGCUAUCAUGACGGAUGUUAGUGAUUUCUGUAUUGGGGCCAUGUUACAUCUCUAGGGUUGAAUUAAUGGCUAGAAAUUCAGAGUUACAUAGCUGAAAACAGGGUUGCUCGAAGCAAACAAGCUGCUUAUUCAGUAUUUUUGACACUCAUGGAAAAGGUAUAUGCUCAUCCUAAAUUCCUAAUUAUUAUUAUAUCACAUAACUGAAAGUGCAUUAGACCAAUGGUGUUAUCAGAAAUAAAUAAUUUUUGCCCCAUAGCUGAACUGUGUCCUCAGUGUGUAUAUAUGUUAGAGAUGUGUAAGAUUCAGAUAUUUUUAUUCAUUUGUUAACUUUACCAAUGUAUGGCUGACAUGCUUCAUUAUGUUAUAUCACAUCUGAAGGUGCAUUAUACCUGUGGUUUAUUAGAAUGCAUAAUUUCGGUCAAAUAAUUGAGUUGUUCUUUUCUUCGGUGUAUAUACAAGUUACAGAUGUGCAUGAUUAUGUUUAUUCUCUACAUUUGGUAAAUUCACCUAUGUAUGGCUGACAUACUUCUUUAGGUUAUGUUUCUAAAGCUGCAUGCUUAAUCGUCCAGAAUGUUUCCAAGUGACUGCUUUACACAUGGGAGACUGGAUGCAUGGAGGAGUUCAGAGAAGCUGGUGUUAUGUUACAUAUGGUCUUCAAGCUGAUGUUAUGUUUCUUGCAUGGUUUGUGUAUUUCUUGCAAAAACAUAGUACAAGAAAAAGAUCUAUGCUCAUGGAGAUGGCAGAAGGGAACUACAUGUGGAACAAGAACCACUAGCGCUGACCAGUUGGGCAUCUGGAUAGUGGUAAUGAACAAAAAUUGCUUGCCUUAUAGAGUCAAUGUAAUCUACUACUAUCCCACUUGCUGAUUUUUAUAUUAUGAAACCAUAGUAUGUAUUUACACUCCUAUUGUGAGAUUGUACUAUGUAAAUUAUGGGAGGACAAUGUAGGCCUUUAUAUGCAAAUAACUCCUUGUUGAAAUGAGUAACUUGAGCCAUUUCGCACAACAGGUCUAUUUUCUUGCUUGCAAUAAUGUGCAUUGCCUUUUAUUCUACCAUCUGAAAAAAAAUUAUAAG